AUUGAACGCUGGCGGCAUGCUUUACACAUGCAAGUCGAACGGCAGCGCGGGGCAACCUGGCGGCGAGUGGCGAACGGGUGAGUAAUAUAUCGGAACGUACCCAGAAGUGGGGGAUAACGUAGCGAAAGGUACGCUAAUACCGCAUACGAUCUACGGAUGAAAGUAGGGGACCGCAAGGCCUUAUGCUUUUGUAGCGGCCGAUAUCUGAUUAGCUAGUUGGUGAGGUAAAGGCUCACCAAGGCGACGAUCAGUAGCUGGUCUGAGAGGACGACCAGCCACACUGGAACUGAGACACGGUCCAGACUCCUACGGGAGGCAGCAGUGGGGAAUUUUGGACAAUGGGCGCAAGCCUGAUCCAGCAAUGCCGCGUGAGUGAAGAAGGCCUUCGGGUUGUAAAGCUCUUUUGUCAGGGAAGAAACGGUAGAGGCUAAUAUCCUUUGCUAAUGACGGUACCUGAAGAAUAAGCACCGGCUAACUACGUG
rnacentral:rRNA from 1 species